CCCCGCUUUCCACCUUCGUUCCGAUCCCACUCUAAACCCACAUUUGAUUCCUGCACCCACUUCAAUUCCUCAGCCAGAACGUGUCUUCAGUAACCAUACUCAAAAUGAAAACUGAAGAACAAUUUGUUCUUUUGACAAGCCCUAGGAAUCAAGGGCAUUCUCUAAUUGCUACUUCGUUUCCUGAGAAAUCUGUUGUUUAGGUCUUAUGAACGGCGGCAUCAAGUCACAAUCUCUCAAAGAAUACUUAAAAAAAUAUGAAAAUAGCCAAUGAAGUAGAGAAGAAAAAGAGGAAGAAGAAGAAAAUUAAAAUGCUCAAGAAAGAUGAUCCUGUGGGUGCACUUGUGGUAGAUAAAGAUCCGGUGUGGCAGAAACCUGUAAAUGUUGAAAACAUAGAUGAGGAAGAUUCAGCAGAUGAAGAAAAACGCCAUGUUAAUAUUGAAGUCAAAUGAAUCAAGAUAAUGGAGCAAAUUCGAUUGUUUCGUCCAUAUGAUAAGAUUUUCGAGGAUGGAAGUGGUUGGAGACCCGUCUCUGAUACUUGAAAAAAACUUGAUCUCCAUCUUGUGAACGGAAAACUAGGUAUGACAGACCAUCUCCGGAGGCAGAACUAAACCCAUCUAACUCUGAAAAUCAAGAUGCCGACUUGUCACCACCACGCCAAAAGUGUAGACGUGUCCGCACGCCAUCAUCCGAGGGAAAGGUAAAGUUAACAGAAUAUGGAAACAAAGACCCUGACUUGUCACCACCAUGCCAAAGGCGUAGAUGUGUCCGCAUGCCUUCACCGGAACCAGAUCUUCUCCUCCAAGGAAAAGCAGGACAGAUCAUGUGCAUUCUGAUUCGAUAGACCUCUCUCCCCCUCGCCGAACUCGUAGCAAAUCAGCUGUUAAUUCUCUUCUGUUGGACCUGUCUCCUCCAAGAAAAAAGGAAUCUGGUUCAAUCUCAGCCCAGGAAAGAAGUAGAGAGAGAAAUGAAGGAUGAGAUAUCCAGAUAUCUUGUUUAAUGUUUGAUGGGUAUUCUGAACCCGAUCAAAAAAAUGGACCCAUCUGUGAGUGGAAGGGCGCCUGAACGCAUUUGCCGUGAUAAAGGAAGAUGUUUAUCUAAGGAGGAGGUGGCAAAAUUAGAUGAAGGAGAAGAAAAGCCAAAGGGAUGAUCCGUUAGUUGACAACAUGCUGAAAGAGAGGAUCAGGUGGGGAAUCCAAUGGCGCACUUGGUGCAGCGGAAGCCACCUGAGAUGGCCUUGGGAAAUUAGGGAGAUGACGAAAAGAUGAAAGAGUCUGGGUUUAUAAUUCCUCAGGACAUUCCUAGCCACAACUGGAUAAAAAGGAAAAAAUAACUCCAAUACGUAAUCGUUAUGGUAUAAAACCUGGGCGUCACUGGGAUGGGGGUGAACUGAAGUAAUGGUCUUACCAAUGGUGGCAUCAAAGCCAGUCUUUCAAAGAAUACUUAAAAAAAUAGGAAAACACCAAUGAAAUAGAGAAAAAAUAGAAGAAGAAAAGUAAAAUGCCCAAGAAAGAUCCUUUGGGUGUACUCGUGGUUGAUGAAGAUCUGGUGUGGCAGAAACCUGUAAAUGUUGAAAAUGAAGAUGAGGAAAAUUCUGCAGAUGAAGAGAAAUCCCAAGCUAAUGAUGGCAAUCAAGUCAAACGAAUGAAGAGAAGAAUGGAGCAAAUUCGAUCAUUUCGUCCAAAUGAUAGAUUUCUGAGGAUAGAAGUGGUCUGAUAUCUGUCUCUGACACUGAAAAACUUGUCACCACCAUGCAAAGGCUUAGACGUGUGCGCACGCCAUCGCCCGAGGAAAAAGUAAAGUCAACAGAUUAUGAAAACAAAGGGCGGACUUGUGACCACCAUGCCAAAGGCGUAGACGUGUCCACACGCCUUCACUGGAUCCGGAUCUUUCUCCUCCAAGGAAAAGCAGGACAGAUCAUCUGCAUCCUGAAUCGAUAGACCUCUCUCACCCUUGACGAACUCUUAGCAAAUCAUCUGUUAAUUCUCUUGUGUCGGACCUGUAUCCUCCUAGAAAAAAGAAAUGGUUUAAUCUCAGCUCAACAGAUCAAAAAAUAAGUAGAGAGAUAUGAAGGAUGAGAUAUCCACGUUCAACAAAAUGGACCCGUCUGUGAGUGGAAGGGCGCUUGAAUGCAUUCACCGUGACAAAGAAGGAAGAUGUUUAUGUAAGGAGGAGGUUGCAAGAUUAGAAAAAAGGAGAAGAAGAAAAACCAAAGACAAUUUCUUGCAACUUUGUCCUUUGGUUUGCAUUGUCUGCGUGGCUGUUUCACGUAUUAAUUUUUGCAACAUUUGUGUUGCCUUUUGCUGUCUCUCUUCUCAUUGGAACAGUUGCCAAGAACUUUGUGAUUGAGGUAAACAAGAAGAAACAGCAGAAGCUUAUGACUCCGGCAAUCAAAUUUAUGGUGUAAAUUUUUCGGAUCAAUAAGUUUGUCAGUCCUUUUUCAGCAGAUAACUGGAUUCCAUCAGCACAACACUAGUGGUUCACUUGCCUAUGUUUCAGGACAUGAAGGGUUAUCCUGUAGAUUUUAGUCUCUUAGUACACAUUGUGUUUUUUUUUUAAAUGAUCAAAUCUUUUUUAUGAAUAUUUAGCACUGCAACCUAGAAAGUUCCAUGUAUUUUCCUUAAUGGGCACAAAGAAAGCAGUCGGAGACUCGGAGUUAUGCUUAUGUGCAUACUUUACCUUAAAAGGCACCAUUUAUCAGCAAAAUGAGUACACAAUGAGAGCCAAAGUCUUAAAAACAGGGCAUUGCCCACGAAUCAGAAACAAUGAAAUGUAGUGCUUCACUAAGAAUGUUUAUGCUUCCGUGAAAAGGCAGCUUUUAAGACUUCAAUGACAUGACAAAAAUAGUUUUAAUGUUUAAAAUAGUUUUAAUUGCAUCUAAAAGAGCUUGACACCCCAACUAUAGGGUAUGCGCUUUUAUUCAUGGACACAAAAAUGUAGGUGUUCCUACUUCCACAAACCACUAUAAAUUGGCCUUUCACAGUUGACGUGUCGAGCAAAAAUUCCCCAGAAUCAUAGAACUAAUGCUUAAUGCCGAUUC